AAAAAAGGUAAGCUACUAAGAGCGAAUGGUGGAUGCCUUGACUGGUAAAGGCGAUGAAGGACGUACUAGACUGCGAUAAGCUACGGGGAGCUGUCAAGAAGCUUUGAUCCGUAGAUUUCCGAAUGGGGCAACCCAAUGUAUAGAGAUAUACAUUACCUAUAUAGGAGCGAACGAGGGGAAUUGAAACAUCUUAGUACCCUCAGGAAAAGAAAUCAAUAGAGAUUGCGUCAGUAGCGGCGAGCGAAAGCGCAAGAGGGCAAACCCAGUGCUUGCACUGGGGGUUGUAGGACUGCAAUGUGCAAGAGGUGAGUUUAGCAGAACAUUCUGGAAAGUAUAGCCAUAGAGGGUGAUAGUCCCGUAUGCGAAAAACAAACCUUAGCUAGCAGUAUCCUGAGUAGGGCGGGACACGAGAAAUCCUGUCUGAAGCUGGGUCGACCACGAUCCAACCCUAAAUACUAAUACCAGAUCGAUAGUGCACAAGUACCGUGAGGGAAAGGUGAAAAGAACUGAGGUGAUCAGAGUGAAAUAGAACCUGAAACCAUUUGCUUACAAUCAUUCAGAGCCCUAUGUAGCAAUACAGGGUGAUGGACUGCCUUUUGCAUAAUGAGCCUGCGAGUUGUGGUGUCUGGCAAGGUUAAGCAAACGCGAAGCCGUAGCGAAAGCGAGUCUGAAUAGGGCGCUUAGUCAGAUGCUGCAGACCCGAAACGAAGUGAUCUAUCCAUGAGCAAGUUGAAGCUAGUGUAAGAACUAGUGGAGGACUGAACCCAUAGGCGUUGAAAAGCCCCGGGAUGACUUGUGGAUAGGGGUGAAAGGCCAAUCAAACUUCGUGAUAGCUGGUUCUCUCCGAAAUAUAUUUAGGUAUAGCGUUGUGUCGUAAUAUAAGGGGGUAGAGCACUGAAUGGGCUAGGGCAUACACCAAUGUACCAAACCCUAUCAAACUCCGAAUACCUUAUAUGUAAUCACAGCAGUCAGGCGGUGAGUGAUAAAAUCCGUCGUCAAGAGGGAAACAACCCAGACUACCAGCUAAGGUCCCUAAAUCUUACUUAAGUGGAAAACGAUGUGAAGUUACUUAAACAACCAGGAGGUUGGCUUAGAAGCAGCCAUCCUUUAAAGAAAGCGUAAUAGCUCACUGGUCUAGUGAUUUUGCGCGGAAAAUAUAACGGGGCUAAAGUAAGUACCGAAGCUGUAGACUUGCGCACAACUUAGAUUAUUUAAGUUUAGAAUAUGAGAAACUAAGUUAUAUGUUUAGUUAUAUUUUUACUGAUUUUUAUAGAGUAAAGAUAGAAAUAAAACUUAGUAAAAUCAGUAAAAAUAUUCUUAGACUAAAGUUAAGUAGUUUAAGUUGUGUGCAAGUGGUAGGAGAGCGUUCUAUUUGCGUCGAAGGUAUACCGGUAAGGAGUGCUGGAGCGAAUAGAAGUGAGCAUGCAGGCAUGAGUAGCGAUAAUUAAUGUGAGAAUCAUUAACGCCGUAAACCCAAGGUUUCCUACGCGAUGCUCGUCAUCGUAGGGUUAGUCGGGUCCUAAGUCGAGUCCGAAAGGGGUAGACGAUGGCAAAUUGGUUAAUAUUCCAAUACCAACAUUAGUGUGCGAUGGAAGGACGCUUAGGGCUAAGGGGGCUAGCGGAUGGAAGUGCUAGUCUAAGGUCGUAGGAGGUUAUACAGGCAAAUCCGUAUAACAAUACUCCGAGAACUGAAAGGCUUUUUGAAGUCUUCGGAUGGAUAGAAGAACCCCUGAUGCCGUCGAGCCAAGAAAAGUUUCUAAGUUUAGCUAAUGUUGCCCGUACCGUAAACCGACACAGGUGGGUGGGAUGAGUAUUCUAAGGCGCGUGGAAGAACUCUCUUUAAGGAACUCUGCAAAAUAGCACCGUAUCUUCGGUAUAAGGUGUGGUUCGCUUCGUAUUAGGAUUUACUCCGAAAGCGAAGAAACUUACAACAAAGAGUCCCUCCCGACUGUUUACCAAAAACACAGCACUCUGCUAACUCGUAAGAGGAUGUAUAGGGUGUGACGCCUGCCCGGUGCUCGAAGGUUAAUUGAUGGGGUUAGCAUUAGCGAAGCUCUUGAUCGAAGCCCGAGUAAACGGCGGCCGUAACUAUAACGGUCCUAAGGUAGCGAAAUUCCUUGUCGGUUAAAUACCGACCUGCAUGAAUGGCGUAACGAGAUGGGAGCUGUCUCAAAGAGGGAUCCAGUGAAAUUGUAGUGGAGGUGAAAAUUCCUCCUACCCGCGGCAAGACGGAAAGACCCCGUGGACCUU
rnacentral:rRNA from 1 species